rnacentral:rRNA from 1 species
UACGUAGGGCGCAAGCGUUGUCCGGAAUUAUUGGGCGUAAAGAGCUCGUAGGCGGCUUGUCACGUCGGAUGUGAAAGCCCGAGGCUUAACCUCGGGUCUGCAUUCGAUACGGGCUAGCUAGAGUGUGGUAGGGGAGAUCGGAAUUCCUGGUGUAGCGGUGAAAUGCGCAGAUAUCGGGAGGAACACCGGUGGCGAAGGCGGGUCUCUGGGCCGAUACUGACGCUGAGGAGCGAAAGCGUGGGGAGCGAACAGG